GAUGAACGCUGGCGGCGUGCCUAAUACAUGCAAGUCGAACGAAACUUCUUUAUCACCGAGUGCUUGCACUCACCGAUAAAGAGUUGAGUGGCGAACGGGUGAGUAACACGUUGGCAACCUGCCCAAAAGAGGGGGAUAACACUUGGAAACAGGUGCUAAUACCGCAUAACCAUAGUUACCGCAUGGUAACUAUGUAAAAGGUGGCUAUACUACCGCUUUUGGAUGGGCCCGCGGCGCAUUAGCUAGUUGGUAGGGUAAAGGCUUACCAAGGCAAUGAUGCGUAGCCGAAUUGAGAGGUUGAUCGGCCACAUUGGGACUGAGACACGGCCCAAACUCCUACGGGAGGCAGCAGUAGGGAAUCUUCCACAAUGGGCGAAAGCCUGAUGGAGCAACGCCGCGUGGGUGAAGAAGGUCUUCGGAUCGUAAAACCCUGUUGUUAGAGAAGAAAGUGAGUGAGAGUAACUGUUCACGUUUCGACGGUAUCUAACCAGAAAGCCACGGCUAACUACGUG
rnacentral:rRNA from 1 species